rnacentral:rRNA from 1 species
UUGACCUCAAAUCAGGUAGGACUACCCGCUGAACUUAAGMAUAUCAAUAAGCGGAGGAAAAGAAACYAACAA